rnacentral:piRNA from 1 species
UGUCUCGCAUGGAUCCCAUAAUCAUCCUC